UACGUAGGUGACCAGCGUUGUCCGGAUUUACUGGGCGUAAAGAGCGCGCAGGCGGUCGUUCAAGUCGAGUGUGAAAGCCCCCGGCUCAACUGGGGAGGGUCAUUCGAUACUGCGGGGCUCGAGUGAGGUAGGGGUCGAGGGAACUUCUGGUGGAGCGGUGAAAUGCGUUGAUAUCAGAAGGAACGCCGGUGGCGAAAGCGCUCGACUGGACCUCUUCUGACGCUGAGGUGCGAAAGCUAGGGGAGCAAACGGG
rnacentral:rRNA from 1 species